CGACGCUUGGACAUAGUUCGGAUCAGGAACCAGGUCGGGCAAACCUGAAAAAAUGAAAAAACUGCUCAUCUGACAUCAUUACACAUUCAACACUAUGACAGAUUAUGAUCAUAUCUGCUCAAGCUAUAUUCGAAGUGAUCCAAAUGUCAGCACUGUCAGGUCCUUGUUAGCAUGUUGGUCAUAAUCUUUUAUGAUCUGUGAAAUAUGUUGGUGCUGACUGAGGAUGUGAAGGGCAAAAACUGAGCAACAGGACCCAAUGUUCAAGUCUGGAUCAGAUCAGAAACAAGCUGAAACACCAGAAAGCAUUUGCCUGGCAUUUCACACCCAGGUGAGUCUUCCUCCCUUAGCUGCAACUUUAAAUGCAGCCUUUUCCACUGCAGGCUCUGUGUAAACUGCCAAUCUGACAUGUCUAUCUGAGGCUGACAUAUAGGGCAGGAGGAAGCUUCCUGGAGCAGACCAUGUAAACACUGUACACCAGUGUGAAAGACUGAGGUUUCCAAGCAUCACUCGCAAUCCAAUUUUUUGUCUCCUCUCCAGAACGCUUGGUUCUCUGUCCUCUGAUCUUUUGAAAUGUGAAAGUGGGUCUCUUUCAGACAUAUAAAGUGCAUUGAGAAGCCAAAGCUGAUUAGCC